GUGCAGCAGUCGAGAAUACAUUACAAUGUGCGAAAGCACGAUAAGGGAACUCUGAGUGCCUCCUAAGGAGGCUGUUCAGGUGUCUAAAAAGCACCUGGAGUAAGGGCUGGGUAAGACCGGUGCCAGCCGCCGCGGUAACACCGGCAGCCCAGGUGGUAGCCACUUUUAUUGGGUCUAAAGCGUCCGUAGCCGGUUGAGUAAGUUCCUUGGGAAAUUUGGCUGCUCAACGAGUCAAGCUUCCAGGGAAUACUGCUCGACUUGGGACUGGGAGAGGUCAGAGGUACUCCAGGGGUAGGGUGAAAUCCAUUAAUCCCUGGGGGACCACCGGUAGCGAAGGCGUCUGACCAGACCAGGUCCGACGGUGAGGGACGAAGGCUAGGGUCGCGAACCGGAUUAGAUACCC
rnacentral:rRNA from 1 species